rnacentral:rRNA from 1 species
GACGAACGCUGGCGGCGUGCUUAACACAUGCAAGUCGAACGAAGAGCGAUGGGAGCUUUCUUCUAUCAAUCUUACGAACGAACGAGUAAGUAACGCGUAAUCUACCUGCCCUUCAGGGAUGAACAACAGUAGGAAACGCCAACUACUACCGCAUGCGAACUAAUCACGGCAUCGAGUAUAGAGGAACGGUUGCCUCUAUAUGUAAUCUAUCUCUGAUGCAGUUGAUUGCGUCUGAUUAGCUAGCUGGCGCGGUAACGGCCCACCAAGGCGAUGAUCAGUAGCCGGGCGGAGAGGAUGAACGGCCACAUUGGGACUGAGACACGGCUCAGACUCCUACGGGAGGCAGCAGUGGGGAAUCUUCCGCAAUGGACGAAAGUCUGACGGAGCAACGCCGCGUGAGGGAUGACGGACUUCGGGUUGUAAAGCUCUGUUAAUCGGGAAGAAAGGCCUUCUUGCGAAUAGUGAGACGGAUUGACGGUAACGGAAUAGAAAGCGACGGCUAACUACGUG